UACGUAGGGGGCAAGCGUUGUCCGGAUUUAUUGGGCGUAAAGAGCGUGUAGGCGGCCAGACAGGUCAGCUGUGAAAACUCGAGGCUCAACCUCGAGAUGUCGGCGGAAACCCUCUGGCUAGAGUCCGGAAGAGGAGAGUGGAAUUCCCGGUGUAGCGGUGAAAUGCGCAGAUAUCGGGAAGAACACCCGUGGCGAAGGCGGCUCUCUGGGACGGUACUGACGCUGAGACGCGAAAGCGUGGGGAGCGAACAGG
rnacentral:rRNA from 1 species